rnacentral:lncRNA from 1 species
UGCUCUCGAGGUUCUUGGCGAGGACCUCUGGGCGCGCCUCACGCCUGAGCUCAUCCAAGAGAUCAGUAGCUACUUGCAUCCUAAUGAAGUUCUUAGCAGCGUCAAACUGCUCAACCGGGAGAUCGCGGAAUGCCUCCGCGACAGCUUUCGCACUUUCGUUCUGGGCCGCAAACAAGGGGACCGAGUAUGGAACCCUGAAAAGCUACAUCACGCGGAGCAGCCCUGGCCCGGCCGGGACUUUGUGGCGCACUGGGGCGGGCCCAGCCCCUGGCGCAGCCUCAGCCUGGCCCAACGCCACCGGCUGCUGUGCCUAGCGGCCUCGUCGGGCCACCUGCCCAGCCUGGACGCGGCGCUGGCGCACUGCGGCUGCACUCUGACCUCAGGGGCUCUCGCUUCAGCAGCGGCCGGCGGCAGCGUGGCGGCGUGCGAGCGGCUGCUGGGCGCGGGCGCUCCGGCGAGUUGCGAGGCCUAUGGACAGGCAUGUGUGGCAGCAGCGGCGGGUGGCCACAUGUCCGUGCUGCGGCUGCUGCUCGACCGCACAAGGCUAUCAAAAGCAGAGUCAUCGUACACUGCAAGCUGCGCUGCGGCAGCACGGGCGGGCCAGUUGCCGGCGCUGCAGCUGCUGCUGGAUUCGCCAGCAAGCGGCGCUGUCUGCGCACGGGUCAUCAGGAAUGCCGGUACCGGCGCCUGCGAGGGCGGGCAGCAGGACAUCCUCGUCUGGCUGCAGCAGGCGCACGGCUACAUUCCCAGCCUGGUAGACGCCGUAGCGGCGGCGCGGGGGGGUCAGGUGGCGUUGUUAGAGCAGCUUCUGUCGCCGCUGGUUCUACAGCCGGACCGCUUGGAAUCUGAGUUGGCAUCUGGCGGAAAUGCCGCAAAGCAGCCCCUAUACCGGAGGUGGAUAGUGCUUGAAGCUAUCACCGCCGGCUGCCCUGUGGAGGUCCUGCAGCGGCACCACGACCGGCUGUGGUCGGUGGCCGCGAACGCGAACGAGGCGCGGAGUGAAGAUGCAGCAGCAGCAGAGGCAGCAGCAUCCAGUAACAAAAUUCGGCGGCAACUUCUGCUGGCUACUGCGGGCAGCGGCACGGCCUGCUGGGGCCGUAAGCUGGACUUUUUCAUGUCGGCUUGGGGCCCAGACGGGGUGGCGCGCGAGCUGCAGCAGAGGUUCGACCUCACAGCUUUCUGCAAUGCUGCAGCGUUGCGACCAGACUACGCGCAGCGGCUGCGGCGCCUGCACGCAGCGGGCAUGCCCCUGGGAGUGCAGGCGCUGAGGUAUGCAGCUAGGUUCGGGCACAUCGACGCGCUCAAAUAUCUCUUAGACGAGGCCGGCGCACCCGCAGCAGCCAUUGACACGGCGUUUGUGCGGUCCUAUGUAUCUGAGCGCGGGCCUCAGCUUGCGGACUCGCAACUGCUAAGGUUGCUGAAGGAGCGUGGCUACGCUUUCACAGCAGCAGACGUGAAGGCGGCAGCGCGCUGGGGCUGGCCGGAUGAGCCGCUGAUUGCGCUGAUUCAGAUGGCGGUGGACGGUGGCGCAGAAGACGCCAAUGGUAGCGACUGGUCAGCAGCAUUCAAUUAUGCAGCCAUCGGCGGAGCCAGCACUUGCGUUCUGCAGGUGCGCUGGUGCUGAUGCAACCCGUGUGUUGUCUGGUGUGUUGUCAUGGAGUGCUGGUUCAAGGGCUUCCAAUAAUCGUGGCUGACUUUCAUGCCACGAUAAUGAGGCAAUGUGACUGAGUCUCUCAUUGCCGCAGGCGCUGCGGGUGCGCGGCGCGGCUGUGGACCUGGCGGCGGUGGCGAAGGGCGGCAGCGAGGAGGCACUGGACUGGGCGGCGGCGGAGCUGGAGGCGGAGGGGCAGGGAGGCAGCUCUGAUGGUGGUGCGCUGCUGGUGAGUGUGAGUGGUCGCGAAGAUAUCGUGCAAGCAUACCUUGAAGGGGAGAAACCACGGAGCUGGGUGUAAGCCUAUGAAACUGCCCUCGGGAUAUCCGGUAGCUUUUAUCGUCUUACACUGUGCAGACACUUUCAUUCCGUGAACUCAGCUACCGUCAGUUUACACGGCGGCGUCACAUGCAUCUCUAUAGCCUCAACAAUCCCUUUGACGUGCGCCGCGUGUAUGCUUCUUACUGAUACAGACGCCACUGCGGGAGUCUGAGGUCCAGUGUGUACAUGAGCGCGGCAACCUCGCCGCACUGCACUGGCUGCACCGGCGCGGACUGCUGGACGGCCGCAGUGUGAGCCGGCUGGCUGGCCGCGUGGAGCUGGGGGCGGCGCCUGCAGCAGCCGGAGGCGCCGAGCGCUGAGCAGGGCUGCAGGAUGGGGGCAGAAAAUUGUCAGUGGAUGGGGUAGGGCAAGUACUGGCGGCGGAGACUGUGGGGGCUCUUGGGCCAUCGGCGUUCUGAGUAAUUUGGCCAAGCGUUUGCUGAGAGCAGACUCCAUGGCUGCUUAAGGUCGCUGGCGGUUUGGUUGGGUUCUCCGUCCCAGCCUUGGUCGUGGCAUGUAUGUUGGCCAUUGCAGACGGCAUCACGCACGUAGGCGGACAGGGUGCAUGCGAGGAGAGGGAAUGCUUGAGGUUGGGGCACUGUGUGAGGACUGAGGGCCGUGCUGCUGCUGCGUUUGCUGCUUGCGAGGUAGGGCACAGUAGUGGCACGGUGGCCUGCUGGCGGGCGACGCGGCGCCGUGUGGGGGGUAGCUACUUGGCACAAAUGCAAAGGCAUGGACCUGCAUGCCUCAUGUGCACAGCUAGCGUGCGUGCGUGCGGUAUCGCCAGAUGCUGCAGCGUUCGUGGUGUUCUGGUAUGUUGGUGGUAGAGGCACGCACGUCGCUGCUGGGGGCUGGAGGUUGUUGCGGGAGGCGGUGGCGUGCUGAGGGGCGCAUGCCGCCAUGCGGUGCGGGCGGCAGGAGGCGCUGUGUAGCAGCACAGCGGCUGUGAGCUGGGAGGUUCGAGCUGGUGGGAGCUGCGCGGUUGGGUCCAUGCCGGGGCGCUAGGUUGGACUGGCUGAAGCUGCUCGCGGUGCCGCCGUCGCUGUCGCCGCGCUCAACGGGGCCGCCCCAUGCACGCCGCAGUGGCACACGGGUGCUCAUAGACUGCUAUUGGGAUGUCGGGACCCCUGGCAUGGGGGUGGCCUAGCUGACAUCCGCUCCCAAACUUUACUUGCGCCUGGCUUGACAUGCGCUUUUGCAUACAUAACACGAAUGGCGCAAGUCGAUGACCAUGCUAUCGAGGUUCUUGGCGAAGACCUUUGGGCGCGCCUCACGCCUGAGCUCAUCCAAGAGAUCACUAGGUACUUGCAUCCUAAUGAAGUAAUUAGCAGCGUCAAACUGCUCAACCGGGAGACCACGGCAUGCCUCCGCGACAGCUUUCGCACUUUCGUUCUGGGCUGCAAACAAGGGGACCGAGUAUGGAACCCUGAAAAGUCACAUCACGCGGAGCAGCCCUGGCCAGGCCGGGACUUUGUGGCGCACUGGGGCGGGCCCGGCCCCUGACGCAGCCUC